CUGAAAGGGUUAAGAAAAAAUCUUUUUAUGGUUAAUAAUGAUGAAUAAAUAAAAAGAAAAGAAAGAAAAAAAAAAUAUUAGUUGAAAUGAAGGUCUCACGCAGGACGUCCAAAGGAGGUGGCGCCAAAACAUUAUGACGUCACAAAGAGUAACUGGCCUUUGAUGUCACAUGAGUAUCUAAACAGCAUCCAAAGGAGCGGGUGGAAAUCGGUCAUAUGCUGCAUUCGAGCACACGCGAGUCAUCGGAAGGCACCCGACUCAUCUAGAGACUUUUCUACGAUGGAACACCUCACGUCUGAACUUACUGCAUUCGUUGAAUGACUGGGAGAUUACCCACCAGACCUUACUGCUGGUUCAUCAGAAGACUGAGGCUCUGCAAUAGGAAGGAGACCACUUCUAAUGACAUGGACUUAAAAUGAGAAAACGCUGAGAGUACGACAACUGACUGGCUGCAGCUCUUGCGCAACGCAGACAGCAAACGCAAAGUGGUCAUCGCCUCUCUGGCUUUCCACAUGACCUGGGCAUAGGUAUGUCGUCUGCUGGAAAGCCUGGAGGAGGAGUAUAAGUGGAUGGAGGACUGGUGCUGCGCAACAGGCAAACCUGACCCCAGCGGUCAGAUGGUUUGACUUCCAUGAUCAGUAAACACCUAAAACAGAAGGAAUUGUUCCUCAAGCCUGCACGUUAACCAAGGGAAUUGCAGAUAUCUUCUACCAGUACGUAGAGAGGAACGGCGCUACAAUGGGAAGGCUGAGUCACGACCGGGAAGAGCAUGUUACAAGCAUUCUGAAUUACUUGGAUGAGAGAGAAAACCCUAUCUUCUGUUCGUGGAAUGUCAGAAAGCAGCAACUGGACCAGGGCCAGCAGUAUUUGUCGUUUGAACGUCGUGCCAUUCAGGCUUAGGAGACAUUUCAAGAUAUGAGUGAGGUUUACCUGUCCUUGUACUACUCCACUGGCUCAAGCAUCUGCUUCAGGCAGGAGCUGCUGAAGGAGAAGGAAAACUUUAAUGUCAUCAGCAAGCGAAUGGAAGAGUGCGUGAAGCUGCUUAUCCGACUGGCGGACGGGUACUGCGCCAAAGGUCACAGCCAUGCCGGCAAGAUAAAAAAAACGUGUUUUGGCAGUUAACCGGUGCUACCAGGAUUUGAACCUGCGAAUGGAAAAGCACUGCUGCAGCUUGGAGAAAAAUAAGAAUGUCCAACUGGGCAUUGUUCCUGCUACAUCUGACAACAAGAUGAGGGAUGGCGACCUGCACGCAGUAAAGCGUUUAUGUUGGCGGAGCGCUGCCAUAAGAAGCUGACCGCUAAGCACUCGGCUGCCCACCACAACCGGGAGAAGAAGCAUGAAGGGCCUCUGCCCCUCCUUCCUGAGAGCUGGGCCAUCCCCGGCAGGUGUGCAUGAUUCAUCUAAUUCACAGGUCAGAUGGGUGGAGCGGCCACAGGUGCAGGCAAUCAUCAUCAGCCACCUUUAUAAGCCAGUGGACGCCUCACCUCGUCGCCAGAUCAAUUUGUCCGUUUCCAGCGACCUGUCUCUGUGCGCCCCAUGUCGGAACCUCAAGCCUGAUCUCUUCCCGAUCCUUGUCAGCACCCUGCCUGCCAAUUUGCUCUUGGAUCUGGCAACAAAUAAAACAUUUUUUGAUCACAGUCACUCUGCCUUUGUCUGCUCUGGGAUCCCCUCCCGUCGUGCAAACCUAACAUCACUGGGAUUGCUUUUCUCUUUGGCACAAGACUUUUUUUCUUCCUUCUUUCAGAAAAAAAAAGACCAAUACGCGGGGUCUGAAAGGCAAAUUGUUGUUGGAUUAUCUUUAAAUACCCGCUACUUUUUGAGCAGAAUUCUAGCUUUGUAUAGGCUAAUGUUCCUAUUAUUAAAAGCACAAAGGUGUGCAAUAAAUAACUAGCACAUUUAUAGUUUCCAUUUUGUUUUCUUACUGUACCGAAAAUGAACCGAACUGUGACCUCAAAACCAAGGUAAGUACCGAACCGAGAUUUUUGUGUACCGUUACACCCCUAAUCAAUAUUAAAAUGAAAUUCAAAUUUUAGGGGAAGAAAAAGAAAAAACAAUGAAUAUGGGUCUUGUCUUCGCAUCCUCAAAGAUUUGGACGUUCCAUUGUACCACACCUGUAACGAACACAUUGUUUAAUUAUUUGCAGUUCUUCUUAUCAUUUAUUUGGACACAAAGUUGAUAUUUAUUUACAGACACCUUGCACGGAGACUACAUGAUGCCAAGAUCGUGUCAUACACUCAAGCGUGGUCAUAAACUGGAGUUUAAAGGAACAGGUCCCAUUUGGCAAAAGUGGCACAACAAAAGUGUCAAUUGUUAAUUGUCAACAUGGGUAAACCUCAACCAUGAGAGACAGAAUGUGGGAAAAAAACAGAAAAUCCCAUUGUUUGAUUUUUAAAGAAUUUAUUUCCAAAUUAGAGUGGAAAAUAAGUAUUUGGUCACCUACAAACAAGCAAGAUUUCUGGCUGUCAAAAACGUCUUCUCACGAGGUCUUACGAGGCUCCACUCGUUACCUGUAUUAAUGGCACCUGUUUUAACUAAUUAUCGGUAUAAGGAACGGUACACCCUGGACUGGUCAUCGUCCAAGCACCUGUCAAAUCCAGACUCACAAACAGUAAACACUGUCUCAUAUUCUCAGUCAAUGAAUUUAAUAUGUACUGUAUAUUCUGUGAAUGUGGAUUUAAACUGGAUUAUCUAGAGCAAAAACCCUUGCAAGCACAGAGAGACCAAACAAACAAAUGGUAUGACAGAGCUGAAACGCUCGCUUCUCAAAAACAUCAAUGAUUUUUGCUACUAUACUAGAUACUAUUCUGUAUGGUAACUCGUUGGGUGAUUAUUGCUUAUUGCUUAUUGGAAUAUCACUGCUGUACGAAGGAUUACAGAAUUGCACAUCGGCCUCACAAUUCAGAAGUCUUUGUUGUUGUAAAUAAAUGAAUUUGUUUACACUGUAUUAACAGUAAACUUUUAGGUGUAAUUGAUAUGCCAAUAUUUUUCAAAUGUUUACUUUUUCAGUGAUGAGCAAGGAUAGUUAUCUCUGAUUGGUUCAAAUGCACGUUCUUUCUCCCCAAGAGAGUUUGGUGCAAAACAGGGGACUGAGAUGAGCGGAAGAGGAGCCUGAGGUUUUGCUGCCAGAGCCCUCUCCGUUUUUUGGAACAACAAAUAGAGGGGAAAAAACAAGCUUGUUGAAUUAAAGGAGCAAUGCAACGGAAAAUUGAUCAGAUUUUUAAGAGAAAGUAAGGAAUUGAGUUUUAUUUUAUUUCAAUCUUCCAUGUUAAUGUGCACUUUGGACUUAUUUUUGUUCAUUUAUGUAAGUAUGUAAAUGUGCACUUUGGACUUAUUUUUGUUCAUUUAUGUAAGGGUACUUAUUUAUUUCCUUAUAAUUAAAAAAAAGUGUUUUCUUUGUCUUCAAAAUAUAUUCCAUUUCACUGUGCAUAAUGUAUGUUAUUUGUACUUAUUUUUUGUUAAUGUAUGUUACAUAUAUGUUUACAUUAUCUUCCAUUUUAAAGUACAUUCUAUGUUAUUGAAUAGUUAAAAUAAAUGAGGGGAAAAUAAAAAUUAGAUGGAGUUUUAGAUAGAAUUUUGUAAAUCAGUGAAUUUUGAAUGGAAAUCAGUUUCUCAUUUAUGCCUUGUUCCGGUGUAAUGCAGUAGCGUAAUGCAUG